UGAGUAAUUAAAGAAUUGACCAUUUUACCCCUAAAUCUCUAAUUUUGUGUGUCUGCAUAAUCUGUUGAAAUUAAUAUAUUGUGUUUAGUACUUAAUUAGGUUAAUUAAUCAUUACAGGGUCAUUAUUGCAAAUUGGAUUUAGUUAUUUAAUUGUUUACAUUAAUGCCAUAUUUGCAAACUAAGUCUGUCUACGCAAUUAGUUGUGUUUUAAAAUCAAUUAAAACGCUAAUUAUGUUUUAGUUAUAAUAAUGUGACCAAUAGUCGAUAUUUUAGUUCUAUCCAUUUACUUGAUUUACCCAUUUUACCCUUUAUGUACGUAUAUAAAUCUGAUAUACAUAAAUAUACAUGUGCGGUAUACGUACAAAAAAGGCUCCAUUUCAUUUCUUUUUAAACUGGACCGAGCCCAGUCCCAACUGGACCGACCCGGCCCAAAAACGUACGCGUCAUUAAGGGAGGGUAAUACCCUUCUUUACUCUCAUUUUGUCUUCCACACCAAACACGCCUCUCUCUCUCCUUUCCCUUCUCAUGAAAAACCCUAGGCGCCGCCUCAACUUUCUUUCUCUCUCCUAGCCAAAAAUGGCAAGAACGCAGAGGUGCUAGGCACCACACAAUCCUCGUACAACCAUCAGCAUGGAGCAUUUAAUGCUUCACUUCCGUUUUCGUCUUCUCCCCCCAAACACGGAAGCACUAAAGGCUCCAAAUUCAUUCUUGUACACGGUUGUGCAUCAAAAAGGUAAAUUUUUAUCUUUUAUUUUCUUUUUUUGCUUCUAUUUUAAUUUGUGCUUAGUUAUAGUUCUUUAUUUGGUUAUUGAUGUGGGAAUGUUUGUUGCUAAGAUGUCUGUGGUAGUUAAGAUUAAUUCAGUAGUAGUAGUUUCGUAUUACUCAACUGUUUUAUUAUGGGCUGAGGGCUGUAUAAUCUCUUAAACGCUUAGAAUGGUGGUACAUGGUUUCGAACUUAAUAAUUUAAGCCUGAUUAGUGGAUAAUGCAUGAAUCUAGUCCUAUUUGAAUAAUUUGUUGUUUAUCAGAGUAGCACUAGGCAUCAAUUAAGAGUAUAACUAUGACUAGAAAUGAGUUAAGUGGGGUUUGAGUUAAGUGAGAGACUGUUAGAGUGAAGAAUAUGGACUAAUAAUAGAUCAUUAGUUGUUAAUAAUGGCUUAAGUGGAUACACUGCUUUAUAAAAUUGAUCUUCCUCAACAUUGAAGUGAAACUAGGUAAAGAAAGAGAUAAGGCUAUUUAGACUCCUAUAAUAUUGAUAUAUGUGUUGUUUAUAAUAUGGAUGAUUCUGCUCAAGGUCCAAGCUAUAAAUGGUUGAAGUUGUUUAGUUACUAGUCAAGGAGAGUUUGAGCCUGAAAAACCUGUAGUAUGACCUGUUUGACAACAUGAAUAUCUACUUUGUUUUCUGCUGGUUUGUGCAUCAGCCUAUCAUCCCUUAGGAUCCACAUAAGUCCAUACAUUCUGCUUUUUCCUAGGAAUUUGGUUAUGUCAAGGACCCUUUGAAGUUCUGGUUAAAUUGCAAGUUUUGUUUGAGUAUUCAGCUUUCCUGUUUGUUUGCUUGUAUGAUUUCCCUUUCUUCUCUCUUUGUUUAAGUGGCAUUAGCUUCCAUUAAACAUAUGAUUAUCCAAAGUUCCAAGUCUGUAAAAAAUGUAGAUUAGGCCAUUGAAUUUGGAUGCAUGCCUUAAGUCAUUUUUUCUUGAAAUGGACCAGUCCGGCAUAAAAAAAAAUAAGAACCUGCCUGUUGUGUCAAUGUUUAAAUUAUUGGCAUCUCUAAUCUGAGUUUUGGUAACUUGUUAGUAUAGCUCAGUAGCACUACUUGACUGUUCUGUUUGCUUGUAUCUCUAAGAACCACUGUAUUUGUAUGCUGGUCCAUCAUGAUUUAAUCACUUAGCUUGUAUGCAUCACUUAUGAACUGGUUGGAAGGGCUUUUCAGCAUAACUUGACCUGUUGAGUGUCUGUGUAAGUAUGUAAUGAUCUAUGGAACUUUAAAAAUGAUCUAUAGAACUAUGCAAUAAUGCUUUAACUCAUUCUGUGUCUCUGUGUGAACGCUGCUAAGCCUUAAUAGUGAAAAAUGAUUCUCCACCUGUAUUUAAAUGAUCUUGUUUGCUAUGAAUAUUUGUGUUUGCAUUUGUUUGGACACCUAGUUAUAAAUAGUCUAAAUAAUAGAGUUCCUAUGAUCAUAAGGGACUAAGGAUGAGCUAAAGUCACAUAGCCAAGGAGGAGCCUUUUAAAAAGGUGCCCUAGAGAGAGGGACAAGGGAGAACCAAACAGAACCAAACAUUGCUUGUUUCAUAACACCUUCCCUCCUCAUAAAGGACAUCAUGACACUCCCAUGGCCUGUGGAGGCAUGCUCACUAAGGUCCCUGUGAUCAUAUGGAUCCAAGAACAUAAAGUUGGAACCCUAAUUUUCCUAAUGAAUGAUUUGUUGAGUUUAAAUGAAGAGCUUAAGUGCAUAGAUGUUUUUGAAUUGGAUGUUGAAUGGGAAGAUUUAAGAAGGAGACUUAGGACCUGAACAUUGAACAGUUGGUCCUUUAAAGAUCAUGUAAUGCUUUUUUCUUUAGGAAUUCUGCUAAGGAACAUAUCUUGCUUUUCUUUACACUUUUGUUCAUCCGUUCUGAAUUUGUAUUCUCCAUGUGACCAAUGUAUAAUCUUGAUCCAUGUUGUUUUCAUUAUAAUGGAAUCAGUUGGAAUUUAAAUAGCAAUCCUGCAUCACCUGCAUAUAGCUAGGUUUUCCUGUACUCUGUUGUUGCUUGUGGCAUGUAUGUUCAAAUGUAGUUGUUUUCUUUUUUUCUCUGAAUAUUGCACAUCUUACAUGAGUUCAUGUGAACUUAGAAAAAUCUAGAUUUGCCUAUGUUUGAUAUUUGUCUGUGUCAUGCUUACUUGUCUCAUCUACAACUGUUUUUCUUGAUAAUAUGCCUUGCCCUGAUUCUGACCAUUUAGACUCAGAAAAACCUUGACUUUUUCCUGUACUUCAUCCUGCUUAUAUUAUGUUGAAUGCCUAAAUUGUAAUUGCCUCUUUUUCCUGCACAUUUACACAACCUUACAUCAUCUGCAUAUACUUGGACUUACUUGUAUCCUGCUUUGUAUAUAACAUGUAUAUUCAAAGUAGUGGCUUCUCCCUUUGAAUAUUGUACAUCCUGUAUGAAACUUCCUAGACUAAGAUACCAUGCUCUUGCUUACAUUUGAGUGUACUUGUAUCAUGACUAUGUGUUUCGAUGCUUCUGUCUCAUACCACAUCUAUGUGCCUCAAUUUUGGUUUGUCCACCCCAUGCUUGUGUGUUUCAACUGUAAUUGUUGUUCUUCACCUUAAGGUACUACAUAUUUAUCUAUGUCAUGAAACUGUUAAGUGAAUGCUGCUCUAUCAUUCUUUUAUGUGUGUUGUUGUAUAUGGUUGAGGUAUUAAAGUAAGUUUGGGGUUUUGGUUUAGCCUUCCCCCGAUGCCUGCCAUGCCUAAGGUUCAAGAAACCUUUUUUGAUCUUGUGCGACAUUGGGAAUAAGGAUGGUGAUAACCACCCUGGGCUGUCUAAAUCUCUACCAAUAAGGCUCAAUAGAAUCUAUGUACAAAUACUUUGGUGAUGCUACUUGUGAAUGAAUUCGAUGCAUGUGUAUGUAUAUAUUUAUACGUAUGAUAAGUUCAGUAAAUAUAAACUAACCGGGUCCCUCUUUUCCUCUUUCUCACUGCAUGGCCACUCGGUCCGAGGCCCAGCCACCCUAUUUGGCCCAAUAGGAAAAUUCUUUCAAAAGAUUUAUUGAGUCCGAGAAAAGAAAAACGGAAGCUAAUAUACAUCGAAGGCCUAAUCAUGGGUGAAAAUGACAUGAAGGCCAACAAUGGGUGAAAAUGGUUAAUUAGGCGGUUUGGUACACCCCUAGUCUAAUCCAUCCUCCAUCAUUUAUAUUAUUUCAGUUUGAUAUUGUAUUGGAUUUUUUAUUUGUAAAAACUCACAUUAUUAUUGGAAAUAAUUAUGGUUGGAACUAGA